rnacentral:rRNA from 1 species
GGAAACGGUAGCUAAUACCGCAUAACGUCGCAAGACCAAAGAGGGGGACCUUCGGGCCUCUUGCCAUCGGAUGUGCCCAGAUGGGAUUAGCUUGUUGGUGGGGUAACGGCUCACCAAGGCGACGAUCUCUAGCUGGUCUGAGAGGAUGACCAGCCACACUGGAACUGAGACACGGUCCAGACUCCUACGGGAGGCAGCAGUGGGGAAUAUUGCACAAUGGGCGCAAGCCUGAUGCAGCCAUGCCGCGUGUAUGAA